rfam:Helianthus annuus linkage group 15, whole genome shotgun sequence.
GUGUUCGUAAGAAGGAGAGAUGGUUGGCAUCUCCCCCGACAGGGAUGGGAACAGCUUUCGAGCUUGCUUGUUAGGACACAUCUGCUUAAGAGGCUACCCACUUUGGGGGAUCUAUAACCCAAUUUUUUU